AAGCGUCUGUAGUGUGGACUCGGCAUCAACAUAUCAAUAAUUUCACGUUUAGACAUUUCGUUCUCGACUCUUGUUAAGGAGAACAUAGACAGAAAAUUGUGAAAAUUCAUCAGAGUUUUGUGAACUGAUUAUAAUGGG